rnacentral:rRNA from 1 species
UACAGAGGUCUCAAGCGUUGUUCGGAUUCAUUGGGCGUAAAGGGCGCGUAGGCGGCUUGAUAAGUCGGGGGUGAAAGCCUGUGGCUCAACCACAGAAUUGCCUUCGAUACUGUCUGGCUUGAGACCGGAAGAGGUAAGUGGAACUGCGAGUGUAGAGGUGAAAUUCGUAGAUAUUCGCAAGAACACCAGUGGCGAAGGCGGCUUACUGGUCCGGUUCUGACGCUGAGGCGCGAAAGCUAGGGUAGCGAACAGG